rnacentral:rRNA from 1 species
UACGUAGGGUGCAAGCGUUGUUCGGAAUCAUUGGGCGUAAAGCGCGUGUAGGUGGCUAGUUAAGUUGGGUGUGAAAUCCCCGGGCUCAACCCAGGAAGUGCACUCAAAACUGGCUGGCUAGAAGAUAGUAGAGGAUGGUGGAAUUCCAAGUGUAGAGGUGAAAUUCGUAGAUAUUUGGAGGAAUACCGGCGGCGAAGGCGGCCAUCUGGGCUAUUCUUGACACUGAGACGCGAAAGCGUGGGUAGCAAACAGGAUUAGAUACCCUGGUAGUCCACGCUGUAAACGAUGGGUACUAGAUGUUGCAGGAAUUGACCCCUGCAGUGUCGACGCAAACGCAUUAAGUACCCCGCCUGGGAAGUACGGUCGCAAGAUUAAA